rnacentral:rRNA from 1 species
UACAGAGGGGGCAAGCGUUGUCCGGAAUCAUUGGGCGUAAAGAGCGUGUAGGCGGCCAGAUAAGUCCGCUGUGAAAUCUCGAGGCUCAACUUCGAGCUGUCGGUGGAAACUGUCUGGCUAGAGUCCGGAAGAGGAGAAUGGAAUUCCUGGUGUAGCGGUGAAAUGCGCAGAUAUCAGGAAGAACACCCGUGGCGAAGGCGGUUCUCUGGGACGGUACUGACGCUGAGACGCGAAAGCGUGGGGAGCGAACAGG